CUGUUCUCGUGGAUGUAGAACAAACACUACCUCUAUUCUCAACAACAACAAAAAAACACUACCUCUAACAUGGAAAAGAGCUCAGUUCAUGUGUCAUGAUUUUGGAUCUUUCUUUGGCAGGCCAAACUCAGCGUGGUUUUCGAGCUGCCAUGGAUGAGAUUGAGAUAACAUCAGGUAUCACCUUAGGCCCUAUAUGCUUGCUCGUGCCCUUAAUGAGUAUAAAUGGCUUCUUAAUGAAUAAUUAAUGGUGGUAUUUUGUUAGGCUCCAAAGAACAGUCAAAUGCUGCUAAUAACAACCAACAUAAUUGUAAGGAACCAUCACGUAACAUGUGGUUUUCUUGUUAUUUUGUUGAUGCACUUAACAGCUGUCCUGAGAUUAUUGUGAAAAUUUAGAUAAUAUAGAACAGUUUGGGCAACCAAAGACAGAGCCUAACAUCCCGAAAGGAGUUGACAAGAGCCUUAGAUCAGCUCAAAAUGAAAAUGAAUGAUUGGACUUGUUUGGCGCAUGAAACUAAAAUUUAAUACCCCUCUGAUCCAAAAAAAGUGUCGCAGCUUUGAACUAAGGAACUAGACCGAUGGCAGAGGCCUCAGUGAAGGUCCUAAUCCCCUGAUGAUGUUCAAUUUGUGCAUAAGGAAUAUGAACUGAAGGUUAACCGUAAAGAAAGCAGGCUGGCAUCGACAACUUAAAUCCUGUUGUUUGGUUUAUGCUGUUUUGGCCAAGCUUAAAAGAAUCUCAACGAAAGACUGAAGAGAAUGAGCAGCAAGAGUACAUCAUCUGCGGAACACCUGGUGGCAUCCAGUACGUUGGUGAGCUUGACGACAACUGUUACUGGGGCAAUGAGGUGAAGCUCUAUGAGCACCAAGUAGACACCCUCUUUGCUAUGUUUUGGCACAAAGAGCCAGACAUCAAGUACUACGUGUGCACAAUCAACAAGACGUUUGCCAAACCAGGCCAGCGCAUGUAUUUUCAGGUUAACUAUACUGAAGAGAACCUACUGGACUACAUUGAUCCAAACAAUGAUACACUCAUGGUCAGACUUGCAGACGGCCAUCUGCUUGCCGAAUGUCGCAUGAUGCUAGGAACUGACAAGAGGGCCACUAUAACCACCAACUGGUCUGAGUUUCGUCGCCGCGCCAACAUUCGCGAAGGAGACAUCUGUGCAUUUCGUUUCAGGAUAACUUCAAAGCGCCGCCUGGUCCUCACCGUGCACCGCCUCUAGAUGCACCAUCGAAAACGCUGCAGCCCCUGUGUCAAUAUAAUCUAAUAUAAUGUAGCACUAAGUACUCCUAAUUAUGCUAUAUCCUGUGAUAACCUAUCGUUUGCUUUUGGGCCCUCUUAUCACAUGCUUUUCAAGACACUAAACCUAUGUUGCUGCUUAUGUUAUGUGCACUAUUGUCUGUCAGAUGUUUCAUGUUCAGAACCAUAAUGGGCUUUCUCUGUACAGUCUAUAUUUCUAUUUUUGCUGCUAAGUUUCUUAAUUAAAGUAAUCAUCCCAAACGCUAAUUAGAAUAGAAAAGAGUGUUAAAGGGGCGAGUACAACCAGGCACCACCCAGCUCCCCCUCAAGAGACGCGCCACGGGCGCGCCCCAACACCUAGUUGCUUUUAUGGGGACCAUACUUGAUUGAUCUCUUCUGUAUCCUAUAAUUUUAUUUGUUUUAUAUAGAAGUACAAUUUUAUAUGAAAUACUCGGCAAGUCGCAUUCGCAGUGAGAUACUAAAAUAUUAAGAGGCUUUCUUUACGUUCUCUGUGACCAGAGCCCAAUCAGGCACUUCAAUGUUCAGCCUUGAUAUAAUCUGAAUGCUGCAAGUGAUACUAGUUAGUUCAUGAUAUGGGAAAGUAGUCGUAUGGGGUUGAUCAAAUUAGAUAAUUUUUUGCUACAUUUCAUAAAGUUUAAUUUCCAUGAAUUAGUGUUUCUCAAUUUGUUUUUCAGGUACCUGCUAUUAUCUGUGUCUGCAACUUGAUACUCAUGUUACAGGUCUGAGUGUCUUCUUAAAGUUUAAUUCAUCUAUUUUUUUCCUCAGCUCAAAUGGGAGUUUUUUUGGAGGAACCAAAUCGAUGGAAUUCUAUAUUGUUUACUAGAUGGUCAACUUGGCAUGUAAAGGAUUACGUCUCGGCUGGAGCAAUGCUUUUGAUAUUGUCCGUUGUUCAAAUGUCAUCACAAUAGGAGCUGCCAGGGCAUUUAUGGCAAUAUUAACUUUGAUUAAUUUUGAUUCAAUUUUUCAUCGCAAAAAUAAAACUCUGUUUCAGUUUUAAAGAAUUAAUAUGGUUUGUUUUUGAACCAUGCAGGAGAGCUGCAUGUGAUUAUAUAGAUAGGAAGAAACAAGUGGUCCAAACGACCAUUACAACCUUAGCCAUUACAAAGAAACUCCAACUGAGAAACAAAAGUGACCUGCAUGUACAACUUCAUGGUCACUAGUGUCAGCAUGGAAGGUGUUUUAGUAGAAGAAGAUCUAAAUGGGCGUGCUUCUACGUGUGGCUCAUUAAGUUUCUUGGGAAUACCUGCUCCAGCUGCUGCAGGUUCUGUGCUUCAGUGCGCGCUGGAGGGAUUGGAUCGCCUGGCUACUGUCAACCUCUUCUUCCUCGUUCCUGCUCAAUGGAUGGCUAGGACAGGCUGUGCUUCAUCGCCAUGGUUUAACGCAGGGUGAUCCUCUGUCGCCUUUUCUCUUCAUUAUCGCGAUUGAUCCUCUCCAUCGAUUGAUUCAGAGAGCAGCUGAGCUCUAACUGAUUGAUCCUCUGCCGAGGAGAGCAGCCUGUACGGGGAUGAUGCAGUUCUUUUUGGAAGCCCAAGGAAGGAAGAAGUGGACAUGCUCAUGCAGAUUCUGAAUGACUUCGGAAACGCGUCUGGACUGAAGAUAAACCCUCAAAAAUCAACUGUCACACCCAUCAGAUGCAAGGACAUCAACCUCUGAUGUUCUUCGAAAUUUUGGAUGGCAAACCACUAGCUUCCCUUUGAGAUACCUUGGUCUGCCAAUCACAACCUCGCGGCUUCGGAUAGUUCAUCUGCAGUUCAUCCUUGAUCGCAUUAGGGCACGGCUGGCAGGAUGGAAGGGCAAACUCAUGAAGAUAGCUGGAAGACAGGUGCUGGUUUGUUGUGUUCUCUCUCUGCUGCCUGCAUUCGCUAUCUCUGUCCUCAAGGUCCCAAAAAGAUUUUUUAAAGAUGUGGACAAGGCGCGGCGUCGCUUCCUAUGGGCACAAGACAAAGAGCUCACCAGCGGCAAGUGUAAGGUGAACUAGCCUAUGGUUUGCUCCCCGAUAGCUAGUGGUGGCCGCGGCAUCCAGGAUAUGCAACAAUUCAGCCGUGCGCUAUGGAAAAAUCCUGAAAGGCCUUGGGUUGGAUCAGAGCUGCCAUGCGUUGUCACUAACAGAGCUCUUUUCAACGCUGCAACAAUGGUAACCAUUGGUGACAGCACGACGGCCUCCUUCGGGGACUGCUCCUGGAUGGGUUCUGCCACCCUAAGGAUCGCCUUCCCGCUGCUCUUGAAGCACUCACGGAGAAAAAAACAGAAGCGCAAAAGAUGCCCUUGCUGGCGACACUUGGAUCAAUGACCUGGCUCAUGGGGAUACAGCAUAGUACAACUGCUCUGCUCCAUGAGUUCAUCGCUCUGCGGACAUGGCUACGAACAAAAGACAUUCAUCUACAUGAUGGCAUUCCGGAUUCGAUCCAAUGGAGAUAUGAGCCAAACAGAUUAUACUCCACAAGCUCGGUCUACAAACUGCAGUUCCAAGGAGUGACCAAACCUGCUAUAAAAAGCUGUUCUGGGAGGCUUGCUGAUCAAAAACAGAUUAUGGUGCAAUGACAGGCUACAGCGCCGAGGUUGGGCUAAUGGCUACUUCUGCCAUCUUUGUUUCAGAAACUUAAGAAUCGUGCUCCCAUCUUUACUGGCAGAAGUUGAAACCUGCUAAUGGUCAUACGUUAACUGUAAAUUCAUCACCUCGUAACUGUAAAUGUAGCUUAAUCACAUUGUUCAAGACAAUACAAUGUAGUGUUUACUUAGGGCUUGGUUUUACAUGACUGAUCUCACCAGAGUUGUACAGGAACGUCUGGUUUCCAGAUUAGGGGCUGAGAACAGCCUUGUCUGCUAUCAUGUGCUAUUGCUGACAGAUUAGGCAGUUGGUUUCAUCCCUCAUAGC